GUUUAUAUAAGAGUGUAAUGCAUGAGAGUACAAUUAUUCGAUGAACAACAAGUGUAGAGCUAAAUCGAACCGAGAACGUUCAGUGAAAUCGAUAGUGAGUGAAGUUUAGUAGAAAUAGUCUAUUGCAUGUUGGUAACGUUGCGGAAAAAGAAGCUUCUCUCAUAAAAUGUGGUUCUUCAGUAAAAUGUGUACGAGUAAAGCACGUCUUGAUGGCAAAACUGUCGUAAUAACAGGAUCUAGUGGUGGUCUUGGCAAAGAAACUGCCAGAGACUUAUACGCUAGAGGAGCCAGAGUAAUUUUAGCUUGUAGAAAUAUGGAAAAAACACGUGAAGCAAUUGACGACAUAAAAAAUAAUCCACCUUCAUGGAUGACAAAAGAUGAAUAUAAGAAUAACGUAGGUGAAUUGGUCAUUUAUUCUUUGGAUUUACGCAGUUUAAGGAGCGUGAGAGAUUGCGCUAAAAACUUAAUAACUAAUGAAGCGUCUAUUCAUAUACUUAUAAAUAAUGCUGGAGUAUGUGGGUAUCCAUACGAAAAGACGGAAGAUGGAAAUCAAACGACACUGCAGGUCAACCAUUUAGGUCAUUUUCUUUUGACACUUCUGCUUUUGCCAAAAAUGAAAUUGUCUUCUCCCAAUUGCAGAAUAGUCAAUGUCUCGUCAUCUACAUAUAUUGUGGCCGACAUUGAUUUUGAUGAUAUCAAUCUAGAGAAAGCUUAUUCGUCAUUUUUUAGUUAUGCACAAAGCAAAUUGGCGAAUAUUCUGUUUACUAAGGCACUCGCUCGUCGAUUGAAAGAAGCAGAUAUUCAUGGGAUAAAUGUAUAUUCUCUGCAUCCUGGUAUUAUAAACACUGAAAUAACGCGUUAUAGUUAUAUCAGUUAUAUAACACAAAUUCCAGGUGUAAAAUUUUGUUAUUGGUUGUUUACGCUAUUAUUUUGUAAAAAUGUUGAGCAAGGAGCUCAAACAACAAUAUAUUGUUCAGUAGAUGAAGAGGUAGCUAAUGAGACUGGACUUUAUUAUUCAAAUUGCAGUGUAGCCACUACAUAUCGAAAAACAAAUGAUUCUGAGUAUGCCGAAAAAUUGUGGAAUGUAUCUUGUCGUCUUUUGCAUCUGGAACCGGAAGAAGAUUUUAACGCGUUUUUGAAAAUCGUUGCACGUCAAAUGAUGUGAGUUCACAAAUAUAAAAAGAAUACAUACGAGAUUCUAGAAAAUUGAGAUGGAACGUAAACGGUCGUGACGCGAGUGUCUAAGCGAAUCGAGCUGCCUCGGCAAGGCAUACGCGCGGUCGGAACAGAAUCCAUCUCCUACACUCGUGUACAUUGCGCGUAUCCUACGUGUACAUCCCAAGGAACUCAAAUUAAAGUUAUAAGAAAGAUUUACAGCUCUGUAGAACGUGUCUAUAAUUUACAUACAACUAUUUAUAGUUUUUACAACGUCUGUACGACUCCGUACAAAUUAGUCAUCAAGUGAUCAUUUUAAGUAAUCAUUUUAAGAUUUUAUUACGUCCCAAGUGGGAAAUGAUAAUAGAAUCGGCGUCGACAUCGAUAUAAAUGUUAUUUUACUGAUAAAAUAAAAUGGCAGAAGGUCGUAUUUCGUGAAACGAAAGUAAUCCCGCUUUAUGAUCCCUAGACUGCGCUCGAAAACAUCACCCCAGUGUCCCCCCUAUCAUUUUAUCUUUGUUAUUCACCGAAUAUUAAACAACGAUACGCUGCGGCACUCGAGUAACAUUUUCGAGAGCAGUUCUAAUCGAGAGGAAGUCGACUACGAAAUAAUUUAUUGUCGAUAAGCGCCAUUCGCAAUUUAUCAAUAGGUCUUUUCCUCUCUAAUGGAGAAAGAAGAGAAAAAGAGGAAAGAUGAACCAUUAAACUACAGGGAACAGGCAUAAUCUUGCCGUCAGCAUUCUAAUUCGAUUAAGGAUACAGAUGGAGCGUUCUACUCUAUUUUGGUGAUUACGUCGCGCGCACGGAGUCGUGCCGUAGAUAACAGUGCAGGCUGUUAUCCUCACUCUCGCCAGACAGUCCGUGACGGCAGCAGCGGCAGACGAGAGCCGCUGCUCGCAACAAUCCCAUUACUUCGACGUAUUAAAACAAAGCGACGCGCACGCGAGGAAUGGAACUUCCAAGAGAGCACCCGGCGAUGCCCCCGAGGGUUUCCUGCUACGUUUCAGGCUUCUCGCGAGCUAUAACGAAACAUCAACAUCCGUAUAGCCCCGGAGCUACCGAGUGUCCGCGAUAUCCUCAGCGGGAAGGAAAGUCAGUUUAUUUAUUUCCGGCGUAGAGAGGUGCGGGAGCUGUGCAGCCUCCGCCUCCGCCGUUGCCGCUUGCGUUCAUCGAACCAAAGUUGCUCUUAUCCUCGGGAGCUUCCUCGUGUAAUCGCAGGUAUAAAUAUUUGGUAUGUACCCGGCUGGCUUCUCGUGUCGAUGGAGAAUUCGCGUUAUCUCGUGAGUAACCUUGAAUGUCGGCACCUAUGCAGGCGCGCCGUUAAUUCUUGUCAGUCCCGCGAAUGCAUUAGUGAAAUUCUCGGACAAAUCGCCGCGCCGGCCGCGAAUGCCAAGCGCGAUGAUCUAGCUGCACGCUACAUUUUUUUUUUUUACAUCUCUUUUAAGUGGAAAUGAGUUUCUGUUCCGAAGACAUUAAGGCGAAUAACGAUCUCCGCGGAGAUGGCUGCGAUGUUUCACAUGCACACGCGGGUUUUACGCCUCAUUACAGAACUUUCGCUUCUUUUGUCGAAAUGUUUAACUUUCUCUAGUUAGUAGACCAUAGAAUUUUACGCAAGAUAAUAUAAUGUUGUAGAAUAUUUCAACUUCUUUUACGACAAACUCGAUUUUUUUAUGACGGUUCAUUCUACUCGCGGGAGUUUUACGGGCGCUGCGAAAGCUGACUUCUUCUUGAAUCGUUUGCCAUUCUGAAAAAUUCCGGGACAAUAAAAAAGAAAAUUGUCAAUCUAACGAUUGUAUAAUAUCGUUCGAAUUUGCUAUCUGAAAUGUGACGAGGAUUGGAUUAGAUUGAUCGACCGAUUUUUGCAUCUAGAGACAGUGCUACUGGCGAAGUAGCAGCAUCAUUAUGCAAGCGCGAUAAAAUGAAAAAUCUUUAAUAAGAUUUGCUCGUUUGCUUGCAUGUCGCUCGACUUUUUUUUUUUACAUCCAAUCUACGCGAGACGUGACCCGAUCGCGAAAACCUAAACGGUGCAUCCCUCUUCCUAGCCGACGUUAACCCGUCUCGCCAUUGUUCCGUUCUACCUGUAUCCAUCUAUUUACCGUUCUCGCGUGGUCAGUGGAAUACGGCCGAUCCAGGGAGAAAGAGAGCCCUGAGGCUACCGAAUUACAAUGGCAAAAGAGCCGGCCUUUCUCCGUGCCAUGCUGCCGUAAACAAGAACGCGGAAGUCAGCGCAGGUGUGUACAUUUGCAUAGACUUUGUGGGAUAGUUAUACGCUUAGGAGUAUACGCGCGAUUUUGCGCGAAGCCCCGACCGGAUAGGUGAGCCGACUCUUUCAUUCCUGGAUCGACGGUGCGAGCCCCGUGGCGCUUAAACGAAUAUAUAAAUUCGUUCUAGAAUGCCAUAGUGUUCACGCAUUCUUAUUUACGAGCGGCUACUUUCACUUGGAAGAUUCGAAAAUUUGAUCAACAGAAAUUGAACUUGAUUUCUGAAUCAUUAUUAUGCAUGAUCUUCGUGAACUUAUACCUAAAAUAUACUUGUAAGUAUAUAUUUUCGCGUUAUAUAAAUUAUGUCGGGAAUAAUUAUCAAAUUAAUUUACUCGUACAUAGUUAUAUUAAUAAAAAUUGAACACUUUACUUAUCUUUGAAAGUUUGAAUCACAUUUUGGCGGCAUGCUCUGUGAAUAUAAUAUUUCACUUACGAAACCCUUCUCACUUGUUUCAUAAUCAUCGAUAGUCUGUUCUGAUGCAGUCGGCAGAAGUGAAAAUUACUGGCGUUGCGUUUCUUCCACCAGUAAAACCAGUGGAUGAUCCCAAAUAGUCCGAAACGUCAUAGGCCCGGUUUUUCAUUAUCUGAUUAACUUGUGGUUAAACUUAAUCUGAUGUUUUAACCAAUGAGCUUCACCUAUGGCAUCAUUAUGGGUGAAGCUCGUUAGAUAAAACAUCAGGUUAAGUUAACUGGAUAAUGAAAAACCGGGCCAUAAAGAUUUUCGGAACUGAAUCAAGCAUUCUAGAAUUAUUUCUUUGUCGCGUUAGUUUUUUUUGCAGCUCUUCGUUAGGAGAGACUUUUGUUCGACGCGGAGUCAAAAAGAGAUAAAAAAUCGACGUACUCGACCGCGAAGGUAGACAAAUGUGAGUCACGAUAACACAGAUCCCCGCCCCACCGAAGUAUCGAAGACGGGAAUAAAACACCGGCAAGCGUGUAUGUUUGAUCGAAGCGCGUUGGAGUCGCAUAGCGGGCGCGCAUCUCGCGGCCUGAAAUUUCAUUUUCCGCGAGACGACGGGCUUUUAUUUCGAUUCGCCGCGGCUAGGAGGAACGUGGGGUGCACGGCAAAUAUGCACGCGCGUCCCGCAUGAAUAUUUACAUCCAGAUGGUGUACAUAAAUAGUACUCAACGAAAAAAUGGGUUAGACCCGGAAUACACCCACCCGCGCUGUAGAUAUCCGCCGGAAGCGGUCACAAAUUCUCCGAGUCUCGCGGCACAACCGCAUUGCGCAUAACUCUCGAGGACCCGCUCCUCCCUUCCGACCCGGCGCGCUUCUCCUCUCUUCCUCGCUCUUUCAACCUGCGGCUCUAAAUUGUAUGUAUGAAUUAUUUUCAUUAUGGCUGUUAUCUAUAGUUGAGAGCUUAAGAGUUGCUGAUGCACCGUCAUACACAAGGUACGUAAUAAUAAUUAUGAUAAUUUAGCGCGUAUGGCAUAAUUACAUGCGGGACGAAUAUCAAGUUUUACCUCCUUUUUCUAAAUUUAAUAUUUAUCAAACGCAUACAAUUUUUAGGAUGUAUGCGGUCGCAAAACAUUACCAAAAAUAUAAAAAUUUCAUGAAAUAUUCUAGUAUUAAACUUGAAUAUCUGUGUAAAAUUUAAGCACAGUUCACUUUAAUUAACUAUUAGUUUAAAAGUUACUUAAUUUUUUGUUUACUUUUGAUUCUCAUUGUAAAAUCGUCUUUGGAGUACAUACCUGCAAAGAUGGGGAAGUGGCAUUACCAUUUAAAUCAAAAUUUUUACAUGUACUAAUAAGACUCUCCAAAUAUUCGUGCAAAAAUUCAUUUGGAUCUACUUGUUUAAAAGUUAUUUAUUUAAAUGCAAGAACCAUUUAAAAUUUUUCAUCGUGUUCUCCUUUGCAACUAGUUCCAGAGCCAAAAUUCGAGCAUUCGCAAUCCACAUUUUUUAUUGUAGAUUAAAAAAAUAGAUCUAGAGUUUUUAAAUUUCGAUUUUUUUUAUUAGAAAAAAAUUAAUCAGUUUUUAAAUUUCGAUUUUUAGCUUGUAUGAUAUAGUCGAAACAUCCUUAACAUUAUACAGUAAAUGACUAACAUUACAUUUACUUCGUUACAUUUAUUGAUUAUAAUAUUUCAUACGUUACAACAUAGCAUUAAUACAUUAGCGAUAUCUAUAAAGGUGAACUCUUGAACGUGAGAUCUUCAAGACGACUUUUGAAGUUUCUGUGGCAAUUACGUCAAACUUAUUUCGAGUUCCCGAGCGGCAGCGUUAAUGAUGCGAACGGCAUUCUGUUGUGAAACUAUUUCUCUGAAAGAAUAAAAUCGAGCAAUGGUAUCGCACUUUAGUGCUUCACAUCUCUAUCAAUCUCGACAAAUGCCGCGCUUAAUGUCCACAAACGCUAAUAAAUCCAAAAAUACCUAACCGCGCUUGAAUUAAAAAAAGAAAUGACGGGAAAGGAGGAACGCUAAAAAUAAGUAUGACGGAUCUUUUGUUCUACCGAAAUUUCCAACGACAGUUUAUGACAAAUAACAUCUACUUUAUUGUCGCAUUUAUGACGAAUGGCGGAUUACGCGUAUGCACGUAUGAAAUAUCGCUUUUAUCGGGCCAAUCGUCGUCGUAGCUCCCAUUUGCCAUUUUGGGGUCACGUAUUGCCCCAUUCGCCGGUGCGCGUUUUCGCGUUUACGUUCUUCCUAUAUUUUACACGUAUCCGCUGCUCUAAUCUCUCUGCACUCUAAUCUCUCUAAUCUCUCUACGUAUACACAUACAUUCUACUUUCGGAACGUGACGAUAAAUUGGAUUUUCAAAUACGGUCUCCGGAGUAUUCUUAAUUCUGGAUAAUCAAAACUAAUGCAUGAUUAUUUUCACGUGAAACUCGCGAAUUUAACGGACAAAAGAAUCUUCCAAAUAUGGUCUCCACGGUGUUCUUAAUCCUGGAUAAUCACAACUGAUGCGUGAUUAUUUUCACGUAAAACUCUCGCGAAUUAACGCGCGAAAAAAUUUUUUUCUGCGGAAAAUAAGCUGCAAAAUAUUCAUCGCGACAUUAAAUGUAUCCCGUUAACAUUAAACAUCAUUAAUCUUGAGAUUAUUCUUGCUUUUCUGGUAAUAAUUUAAACAAUACAAAAUAUUUAACAAAUGCUUUUUUUUGCAUCGAGUUGCUCCUUGUGCUCUCUAUUUAUCAUCUAUUUUUUUUUUAUUUCUACUAUUCUAUUUCUUUUUUUUUUCUUACUUUACUUCUAGUACGACUACGUAACGAUUCCUCAGAUUUCUUCAGUUCGUCCAUCACAUAUUUGGUGUCUUCGACUUCCAUCCGCGAAUCUUUACUAUCGCCAUAAGUGCUCACGCAGAUCGUUCGUGUACAUUCGCUCCUAUCGCUCGUCAAACUGGUCUAAACGAAAAGACGCGAUACAUGUCGCAAGGAAGAGAAUAAGUACCGUGUUACGUCGCGAAAUUCUGUUCCAAUUUGUCAUACGACGUAAAGACGGAAAAGGAUGGCUCUUACUUUAGAUUCAUCCGAGCAACGUCUUUGGGCGGGUCGACGAAAGGUCUUCUUAAGACGGAGGCAGCAAAUUGCGAACGGGAAAAUCAAAAAGAACAUCGCGUUCAAGAAGAAUUCCGCCCUCCUGCAGAACGCAUUCGUCGAAAAUCGUAUCACGUUUCACGCACUUAUCUAUACAUUUAUCGUACUGUUUUAUCUUCUCAUCUGUACCUGCUGCAUAUCCUCACGGUUCUCUUGCGCGUAUCCGGAUGCACCGGGGCACCAUGCUCAUCCGUCACCACGUAUUUAUAUUUUAAUUCUUGUUCGUAGUAUUCCGACAUUCCGCUAGUUUCCAAUAGAGAAUCUAAACCCCAACGACCUACCAUCGGUAUGUACAAGCCGAUCAACCAUUUCAGGAAACCUGAGGAAACGCAUACUUUAUCGUGCAUUGUUUUUUUUUUUAUUCGUAUUGAUAACGUUGUUAAAAAUAUUAAAAAUAGUUCAGACCGUAUAAAUAAAUAAAUGAAUAAAUUCAUGAACGUAAAUUCUGAGAAUAUAAACAUGUAUUAAAUAUGAGCCAGAAAAAUUUACGAGGAAAUUAUAUUUCGUUAGAAAAGAUAUAAAAGAAUGCAACGCGUUAAAAACAUUUUACCAGCUAGAAAAAUGCACAUGUCAUAAAUUGAAAUAUAUCGAGGUUUAAUAGUUGGAUUUAGAAGUUAUUGAGCUGAAAAAAAUAAUACAGUUGUAUAAUUACUGACCUAUGAAAAGCAAGAGCAGUAUCGAUGAAACGAUGAAGCAUAGAAUGUUUAUGGCUUUUGUGAAAAUUUUGCGAGAGGCUGCGGGAACGGGACCGCAAAAUCCAGCGGCGUGAUAAAGCUCCGGUGACAUCGGUGUGCAGCCUGGGUCACGCGCGUCGCCCAUGCACACGCAUAAGCAGUGCAGCGUGCAAGAGCAACGAUCCAUUUUACGUAUCUUUAUCCUCCUAGCGGCCACUAGCCCUCCGAAACGAUUCAGUAAUUGCACUGCAAACGCAAUCGCCCGAUGUUUACUCGAAUACGCACGAUCUCUUGCAUAUAUUCCGCGCACGGCAAUAAUAAAAAUCGCCUGCAAUAUUCUGCAGUUCGAUAACUCUACUGGAAGCUAAAUCUCAGUUCCUUCUUUUUUUCAUUAUAUUCGUGAAAAAAAAAUUAUUUCAGAUUUAAAAAAUACAAAAUUGAAUGCAAAGUUGAGAAUCCUAAUUUUUAUGUUUCUCAAAUAUUAUUUGAAGAUGCGAAUAUACUUUAGAAGCGUCGUUGUAGUUUAUUACAUUCUCGUGGGGUUGUUAGAUUUACCAGAACAAUGAAAUUCAUUUAUGGGCAGUUCGCCGUAAAGAUCCAAGCUCACUGCUUGAUCCCGUCGAGGUUGAAUUAUUUUUUUAGGAAACGUAGCGUUCACCCAAGAUUCUGGAAGAUUAUCGGGACAUUUCGCGAUCCUUGAUCGAUAGGACAUCGAGGUCAGCCCCGUAUUGGUUAUCACAAUUGUCACUAUGGUAUGAUCGAGUGCCCUGCUGUCCACGUGUACCUUGCUGAUACAACCUAAAGAUCUAAGAUAAAAAAAUUUUCAACAACCAUAAUUUAGUCGACAACAUGUACAAUAGAUUUGAGAAAUUUGAAAAAAAUUAUAUUGAAACAUUCUCAGAUUUGUAUUAUUAAGAAACUUCCGAUUUAUAAAAUAUAUCAUUAAGCAAUUUAUUUCAUAUUUAUAAAAUAUUAUUGAUAUUAUAAAAAAGAAUCUGUCAUCGUUUUAAUUUAGAAUUUACAUAAAAUAGAAUAUCCGUCGUCAUUAAUGGCACUGACACUUUUCUGUUCAUUACUCCCGAAGCGUCAGAUAUAUAAACUUGUUUCAAAGAAGAGCCGCCUAGCGCGCCAACUCUGAGCCAUUCGGAGUAAUCACGGAAAAUCGGAUUACGAGGGAAUUAGCGCGCGAAGUGUAAGCGAACUGGUUAGUUGGUAAUCUCUGGUUAGUCGUCUAGCUAGAGGUAGAUAGAUAUCGUUCCUCUCGAGAGACUCACCCUCCCGCGGGCGCGGCAUUGUAACCCGCCUCGACUUCGAUGUCGAUCGCAGACACGUGCGGCGAAUGGUACUCCAGAGCGAGAAACUCGUGACUUCCGCUUCCGUUCGCGCUGUACUUGAUGGGCUCGCUCGGCACGGAUGCGAAAUUGCUCAAGAAGUAGCAACCAGGUCGCCCGGCCGCGCGAGCUUCCUGUCGACAUGUGACACUAGAUCGAACAGCGGCCCGACCUUCGACAGCCGGCUGGCGGAAAUGUUCGCGGGUACACGAGGUGGUUUCCGGCACAUGUUCGUGACGCGCGGCCGUCGUCUGCUCUCGCCGCGAUAAACGCUCGCGAUGAUCAUAGCUCACGCGGGUCUGAAGCUCGACGAGCGAAAGCCAAUCGAUAAGGAUCUUAUUCUUUUUCGAUAAAAGUUAUUUCGUUUGUAUUCCUUCCAUUUAUGAACUUUGAUAUUUUUUUUUUCUACGAUCUCGCAGACUCUAAAGUUACAAUUUUCGCAUUUGCGAAAAACCUAAUGCAGUACCGUCAAAUUCAUAAGCUCUUUGAAGCGGAAAUUGCUUGAGAUUGAUUAAAACGUAAAAUUAAAUAUAGAAAAAAAAAAAUCUUGAAUGAAUUCCAAAUUGCACGUUGCAAAAAUCUUAUAAUGUACGAUGCGUCGUCUCGCAAUAGAAUCGCGGGAGAAAAACGCGCGUCCCCGCGAUACAAUAAUUCGAAAUGUAACAACGGGCAUUCUCAACGGCGGACGGUCGCUGCGGACAUUUAUGAGAGCGAGACAGAUUCGGUAUUUCGCCCGAAACGAGACGGCUCGAAUUCCUCGUCUCGCGUAUCACAGAGCCGACAUGCAAAAAUCCACGCUGUGUCCCUCCACCGACGACCGAUUUGUAUACGACUGUCCGUUCGUGUCGCCGGGGACAAAUAUCCUUUUGCAACGUUUUAUACGGGUAUAAGUAUUAAAUUCGUGCGCGAUAAAUCAUGUUACAUGGCGAGCGCGGGCCGCACUUAAAGCGUCUCGCGCUCGCUCGCCCGCUCGCUCAAACGCGCGACGACGGCCGCGAAUAGCUCGAGGACAGGCCAUUUCCAGCGUUGUUUCAUUUAUUGCACCUGUCAUACGUACUGCGUCGCGCCUACGGUAGGCCAGGGGCUGAUUUUUCAAACAGGUUCCCCUGACACGUCCACACCGGUCCGGUUGCCUCGCGAACGCCGCGAAUCCCACGCCCGCUUUGUCGCACUCAUUUCCACUCUCGUUGAUGCUGCUCGCCGGCACCACGAGAUACUCGCCCGAUUCGCCUACGUCGAACACCAAAAUAUCAUCGUUUAAUGAAAUGUCUUACGGUAGAUUUAUUGCUUCACUUGAGAAAUCUUUGCAGUCAUUUUUGUCAUUGAUGAGAUUAAAUUAGCUACACGUUAUUCUUUUUUAACACCAAGCUUUUAAAAUUCUUGUAAUGAACUUUAUAUCGCGUGCAUUAAUUUUAAUAAAUUAUAAUUAUAUGUGUUACAUUAGUAUAAUUUAUUAUAUAUUAUAAUAAAUUUUAUUAAACAAUGUAAUAGAUAAAAAUUCAAAGGAGGACAUUAAAAAAGUGUCAAUUUGUGCUCCCGAAAUGGCAAAUAAAAGCGAUUUACAUGUUGCAAAUUUUAUAAUUUAAUAGCAUUAAAUCUUUGUUACUAUAUAAAUCAAUUGAUAUAUAUAUAUAUUUUUAUCUUUAAUUAUUUUAUUAAAAAAUUUUAUUUGUCAAAAAUUAAAAUAUAGAAAAUUAAUUAUGAAAAAUUUCCGUAAUAAUUCGUUUACAAAUAAAUCUUUUUAAAGCAUUUGACGAAAUGAUUUUCAAAAAUGUGAUAAAGCUUUUUGACUCCAGAAAAACGACACGAUAAAUUUCAUAAUUUUUUGGCACAUUAAUGAUUUGAUUUUUUUAUAUAUUUAUAUGACAACAUUAUAAUGCAUUGUUGACGUACAACAAGAAUAAGCGAUAUUUUCGAUAAUUGUGCUACUUUAUAAUUGUUAAAAUAUAUAGAGCACAAGAUCCUACGUCAUGACGAAGUAACAGUGUUACCUCAUCCUGUAUAUGUAACAGUUACAAAUUAAAUUUAAUUAGAUAAUUAAAAGUCAGAAUUAGAUUCAUCAGCUUAAUUUGCUUUAUUUGCCACUCUGCACUUUUUCAACAUUCCUCUUUGUUAUGUAUCGUAGUACACAUUCUGACUUUGUAUCUUUCAACAUGGUGCUCCGCUGUCUAAAAAUUUUAAUUAAACUUUUGGUAGGAAAAAAUAUGCGUUUUUAGUAUAUCUAAAAUAUGUGCGCCUUUUUAAAUGCAGACAACAAACGUGAAAUCAUUCUUUUAGACAUGUAAUUAUUCACUCUUUUCGUAUUUACGAUAAAUUCAGUUAUGAAGCAUAAACUUGCAUACGCAAUUUCGAAAGGAAGGCGUUGAAAUAUUCUCGGUUCGGUACCUUCGGCAGGAUAUUCGGAGCCUUUUGAUGUCACCGACGAUGGUACCAAAAGACGAUCACGAACGACAUUCAAAUUAGGUAUCUCGUCCUCCUUCCGUCCUAACAUUUUCACUUCCUUGUAGGCGAAAGCGAUCGUAUCUUGGCUACCUCUAUGGUGCCUGUUGAACGUGCCCAAUCUGAUGGCAUAAACGACCUAUCUAGCGUGAAGUUUAUCGGGCUGCUUCGAACGUACUCGAGUGCGCAUUCAAACUCUAUCUCUUUCUACCUAUCUGUCUAUCUCUCACCUGACUACGGAGUCACCGGUAAGAUCCUCCCAGUGAGUCGAUCCGUUUGCUAAAACGCGUUUUUCGUAAACCCGAAGAUACACCGCGUGCUCGACGAUAGGAUCCUCCAAUUGAUACACGGAGUACCUAAAGGACCUUUCUGACGUUAAUUUUCAAUGAACUUUGACGAAUUUAAGGUUGACGCGUAACGAUACGAUUCAUAAUCGACAAAUAGAAAGUUGCGAAAAUCGAUUUAACAUGGAGAACUUUUGAAAAAACCGGGGAACAUCAGGAAAUGUCUUCGUAUCGAUUAUCUGUUAAUUAAUUUGCGACGCGUCAACUGCAGAGGCCGCUUCGGAAAGCGCGAAACAAAGCACUCAGCUUUGCGUUGCACCGAUGUAGUCUGUAAUUGUUGCCGCGCAUUGUGCUUAAAACUGAAAAUAAAUGAUCGAGAGCCAUUGGCCGUCAUUUUAAUGUUUUUAAUAAACCGUUGGCCCAUGCCGCUAUUAUACGCACGAUUGCUUCGCGUUAUUUUUAAUAAACUGUAUUGACAGGUAAAACAACACACUCUCUCCGUAACAAAUGAGGGAAAAGUUUUGUGUUAUUUGUUAAAUAAUGGCAUUAUUUUCAGUCGGUGAAUUUACAAAAAAAAAAAAAAAGAAAAA